rnacentral:rRNA from 1 species
UAGGGAAUCUUCGGCAAUGGACGAAAGUCUGACCGAGCAACGCCGCGUGAGUGAAGAAGGUUUUCGGAUCGUAAAACUCUGUUGUUAGAGAAGAACAAGGACGUUAGUAACUGAACGUCCCCUGACGGUAUCUAACCAGAAAGCCACGGCUAACUACGUGCCAGCAGCCGCGGUAAUACGUAGGUGGCAAGCGUUGUCCGGAUUUAUUGGGCGUAAAGCGAGCGCAGGCGGUUUCUUAAGGCUGAUGUGAAAGCCCCCGGCUCAACCGGGGAAGGUCAUUGGAAACUGGGAGACGUGAGUGCAGAAGAGGAGAGUGGAAUUCCAUGUGUAGCGGUGAAAUGCGUAGAUAUAGGGAGGAAAACGAGUGGCGAAGGCGGCUCUCUGGUCUGUAAAGGACGCUGAGGCUCGAAAGCGUGGGGAGCAAACAGG